ensembl:misc_RNA 7SK 7SK RNA
GGAUAUGAGGGUGAUCUGGCUGCGACAUCUGUCACCCCACUGAUCGCCAGGGUGGAUUCAGCUGAUCUGGCUGGCUAGGCGGGUGUCCCCUUCCUCCCUCACCACUCCAUGUGCGUCCCUCCCAAAGCUGGGUGCUCGGUCGAAGAGGACGGCCUUCCCCGAAUAGAGACGGACCGGAGCUGCGCUCCCCUGCUAGAACCUCCAAACAAGCUCUCAAGAAAUAAAAUUUUAAAAAGAAGAAACAGAUUUCCACCACUAAAAAGGCGAAGGGGCCCGGUGGUGGCACACCU